GUCUCUCAGUUGUUUUCAGAAAUGUUUCAUGUGUUCAGUCUUUCAGGGGGAGUGUGAAGGAAAUAAUCUAUCACAGGGACACCUUUCUGCAACUCUGCCCUCAUUGCCAUCGCCUGGCAGUCAUGCAGAACAAGGGUCAUGGCCCUGCUACAUCUCGGAGUCUCAGGGAUCUCCUCAAUGAAUGUAAACAGAUACUUGGAAUGAGGAAAUGGCUCCUAACUCAGCACCUAAACAUACCUGGACCCACUAAGAUAGCCUGUUAUGCUGACAUUGGCCAAUCAUGCAUGGCCUAUCAAGGAGCUCUCAAUUCCCAGGACAGCACCCAAACUGUAUGUAUCCCCCAAACCUAAAACCACUUAAAAAUAAUCAUAAUAAAGCCACUU
rnacentral:lncRNA from 1 species